rnacentral:rRNA from 1 species
UAUCAUGCCAUAGGAGAUACACCUGUUCCCAUGUCGAACACAGCAGUUAAGUCCUAUCGGGCCGGAAGUACUUGGGGGUUGCCCCCUGGGAGAUAAGGACGUAGCC